rnacentral:rRNA from 1 species
GGGGAAUCUUGCGCAAUGGGCGAAAGCCUGACGCAGCAACGCCGCGUGGGGGAUGACGGCCUUCGGGUUGUAAACCUCUUUCGACACCGACGAAGCCAUCUUCGGGUGGUGACGGUAGGUGUAGAAGAAGCACCGGCUAACUACGUGCCAGCAGCCGCGGUAAUACGUAGGGUGCGAGCGUUGUCCGGAUUUAUUGGGCGUAAAGAGCUCGUAGGCGGUUUGUCGCGUCUAUCGUGAAAACCGGGAGCUUAACUCCUGGCUUGCGGUGGAUACGGGCAGACUUGAGUUCGGUAGGGGAGACUGGAAUUCCUGGUGUAGCGGUGAAAUGCGCAGAUAUCAGGAGGAACACCGGUGGCGAAGGCGGGUCUCUGGGCCGAUACUGACGCUGAGGAGCGAAAGCGUGGGGAGCGAAC